GAUGAACGCUGGCGGCGUGCCUAAUACAUGCAAGUCGAGCGAACAGACGAGGAGCUUGCUCCUCUGACGUUAGCGGCGGACGGGUGAGUAACACGUGGAUAACCUACCUAUAAGACUGGGAUAACUUCGGGAAACCGGAGCUAAUACCGGAUAAUAUAUUGAACCGCAUGGUUCAAUAGUGAAAGACGGUUUUGCUGUCCCUUAUAGAUGGAUCCGCGCCGCAUUAGCUAGUUGGUAAGGUAACGGCUUACCAAGGCAACGAUGCGUAGCCGACCUGAGAGGGUGAUCAGCCACACUGGAACUGAGACACGGUCCAGACUCCUACGGGAGGCAGCAGUAGGGAAUCUUCCGCAAUGGGCGAAAGCUUGACGGAGCAACGCCGCGUGAGUGAUGAAGGUCUUCGGAUCGUAAAACUCUGUUAUUAGGGAAGAACAAAUGUGUAAGUAACUAUGCACGUCUUGACGGUACCUAAUCAGAAAGCCACGGCUAACUACGUG
rnacentral:rRNA from 1 species